CCCGGUUAAGCGCUCCACAAGUCCUGUUCCUUUGCCAAUGGGUGGCUUGCUGCUGAUGGGAACCAUCAGGUUUGUGGUUGCUGUGACCCAACAGGUGUUCCUGAUGGUGGAACUGCUGCUCCUCCUUUUGGAGGCCUUCAGUGGGAAGGGAAGGCCUCGCUCGGUCCUGUAGUGGUUCAAAAGCACAAAAAGACUUUAGCUUGUUCAAUAAAUGUGGGGAGAAA